rnacentral:tRNA from 1 species
GCCCAGGUGGUGGAAUUGGUAGACACGCUGGUCUUAGAAACCAGUGCCUUGCGCGUGGAAGUUCGAGUCUUCUCCUGGGCACCA